UUACAAAUAAUCACCUGAUUUUAUUAAAAGGGUUAUUUGGAAACAUCAUACAGCUCCUGUAUAGGCAUGAUAACACAAGUCUUCUAUUCUAUGUGAGCACUGUUUGGAUAUGCCUACUGUGGAGCACAGAGCCCAUCUCACCUUGUUACUCAAAAUUGUUACCUGUGCUUGAGUUUGUAGCACUAAAGCUGGAGUAAAAGCAAACACUCAUGGGGCUGCAGACACAGGAUUGUGGUGUGAGCAGAAUAAAUCACAGGAGUUUUGGUGAGCCUGGCUUCCAAGAGCAUGCUUGCAAUGGCCAGAACAAGUUGGAAGUUUAAAAAACAAGGAUUUUUAAGAUUAGUGAAUAUUUGGAUGGGAGUGGAAAUGCUCUGCUUCUAUGCUUCUGUAGUGGCAAUGACUAUUCUGGAAGAAUGACAUACAGAUUCAAUUUUUUUGCCUGGAAACUCAGUUGUAGAUCAGUCGCUGAGUUGCUAUUAACAGAAAGACAGAAAUUUUGUUACAAAGUGGGUACCCCAUGGCUGGAGCUGGGGUCACAAGCCAUCACUCCCUGUUCCACAGAAUCCUGCGAAAGGGUUCUCAGUGAACAGCGUGAUCAUAAUGGGGCAGCUGUGAGGGCUAACAGCAGUACACUUAUUUAAAGAUUUGAGGGAUCACUACUCUCACAGCAGAGCUUGCAGUGUGUUUACAUGCCUAUAUGAUACACCACAAUAUUAGAGACCAUGCCUGUGGGGAAUUUACACCCCACUCUGGGCUGCUGCGGCUGGGGCUGGCAGCUCUUGCACAACAGCAUGGUGACCUGGGCCGACAGUGGUUGAGCAAUUGCCCUGCUGGGAUCUUUACGACCUGGGCUCACUCUCCUGCACAAGUCAUGAUGCCUUGGCAUGGAGGUCUUCAGACACUUCCCCAGCUCCAGUAGCUGCACUGGGAGUAGAUGGUAUCAUUUCAGAGACCUCCUCUUCAGUUCAACUCAACAAACAUGAAAAAUGCAAAUGGUCUUGUACCUCCAGGGAGUUUAUCUAACAUUUGCCUAUUGCGGUUUGACUGACAAACCAAAAUGUUUCAAGUGGCCCCUCACCUAUAGGGAGAGUUGGGAGAGUUUGAGCUACAUUCGGCCCCUUAAGUUCUACUCAGUGAGUGCAGGUGUUCCGCACUCUUUU